rnacentral:rRNA from 1 species
UUCGGGGGUAAACGGACAGAGCCCGUGAAUCCGGGCGGCAGAAUUCAGAAUCGAUGGCCCUUCGCGGGGUCGUCGGUUUAAUAUUUCUGUCGCCGCGGACGUCGCGACCCGUUUGGUGUCGGUCCUAGGAGCCGCGUUUCAAGUUCGUUGCCGCGUGCUCUCGGGCGGCGUGGUUUCGAGGGCGCGGUUUUUCUUUCCGGCUGACUCGCCAGACGGUACUACUGGUGACCUUUGCCGCCUUUCCGCGCGGCAAACGUGGUACCGGUCUGCGACGAAUUUUCGGGCCUCUUUCCGACCCGUCUUGAAACACGGACCAAGGAGUCUAACGUGCGCGCGAGUCGCGGGGUGUCGGACGGCGGUGCGGCCUCUCUCGCGGGGGGUCGACCUGUCGUCCGUUAUAACGCGAAACCCGUACUUGUAGAAGGCGUAAUGAAAGUGAAGUGGGAAGAUGGCGUUCCGAGUUCACGUUCCUCGGCGUUCGUGUCGAGGCCGGUCGCCCGCAUUCCCAGGGCGUCUCAACGGCCCGCUGGUGUUGCGGACCGUCGCUUCGCGGCGGCGGUCGGGCGCCAGCGAACCGAGGCGCACCUAUAGCGUGCACGUUGGUACCCGAAAGAUGGUGAACUAUGCCUGGCCAGGAUGAAGUCAGGGGAAACCCUGAUGGAGGUCCGCAGCGAUUCUGACGUGCAAAUCGAUCGUCUGAGCUGGGUAUAGGGGCGAAAGACUAAUCGAACCAUCUAGUAGCUGUUUCCUUCCGAAA